UUGAUGCAUUUGAGCUGUCAACAUUGUCCUCUUUAAGUUGCGCCCAAUGCAAAUUUCAGUUCCUAAAAAACCCAAAUAAGGUAAUAAAUGUUAAGGGAAGGAGGUCUGAUUUGCCUCUUCCUAAACUGAUGACCUGGUAGGAACAUUGCUGAUUGAGGAGAAACACGUCGGGGUUCCUGCUAACACGGAGACAUGCUCACGGCUGUCGGAAUGAUUAUUCUAUUUCUGCUGCAGAGGGGGAAAGACAGGAGAGUUAGAAAGGCGGGUUCCAAGCGAGGGCUGUCAUCAAGGCGUUUGGUGUGGAGUGCCUCUUCAGGCACGCUAGCCCCAGUGAGUCCAGUGUCCCUGGGAGUAGAUGACAUCAGCAUCCUGGUUUACAGAGAGAAUCUCAGAGUGGCCUUCAUGUUGGAUCAACAAGCAGAGCUGAGAUGUCAUUGACAGAGAGAUGUCCCCCCGCCUCCAGCUGAGUGACAGAGAUGAAGCAGAAGCUGCUUUUGAUGUUUCAAAUUUUUUUUAUUUUUGUAAAUUUAUAUCCAAAGAGUUAGCAUCUGGUGCAAGGACGAUUUCAGGAGUAGAUGCCUUAGUGCCCCUUAUGCAUUUAGCCCAUCCCCCCUCCCACAACCCCUCCAGGAACGCUCUGUUUGUUCUCCAUAUUUAUGAGUCUCUUCUGUUUUGUCCCUCUCCCUGGUUUUAUAUCAUUUUUGCUUCACUUCCCUCUUGUUCAUCUGUUUUGUCUCUUAAAGUCCUCAAAUGAGGAAAAUCAUCUGAUUGUUGUCUUUCUCUGACUAAUUUCACUUAGCAUAAUACCCUCCAGGUCCAUCCACGUAGUUGCAAAUGGCAAGAUUUCAUUAUUUUUGAUUGCCGAGUAAUACUCCAUUGUAUAUAUAUCCCACAUCUUUAUCCAUUCAUCCUUCGAUGGACAUUUGGGCUCUUUCCAUACUUUGGCUAUUGUUGAUCGUGCUGCUAUAAACAUGGGGUUGCCUGUGUCCCUUCAAAACAGUGCACUUGUAUCCCUUGGAUAAAUGCCUAGUAGUGCAAUUGCUGGGUCGUAGGGUAGUUCUAUUUUUAGUUUUUUGAGGAAAUUCCAUCCUGUUUUCCAGAGUGGCUGCACCAGCUUGCAUUCCCAUGCUUUUGAUUUUUAAAGAAAGAGUCUUGAUACCCUUUAUUUCGGGAAUUGUUCUUAAUAGAUCACAAAGAAUGUUCACAUUCGCUGGGAAGAGAAGGAAGGGCAGUCGCGAUAACAGCAACAGUAAUAAUAAGCGUGGCCGUUAUGGGGUGCCCGGGUGUCUCAGUCGGUUGAACAUCUGACUGUAGCUCAGGUCAUGAUCUGACAGUUCAUGGGUUCGGCCCCACAUCAGGCUCUGUGCUGAUAGCUUGGAACCUGGAGCCUGCUUUGGAGUCUGUGUCUCCCCCGGGCCCCCACUCUCUGCCCCUCCCCUUCUCGCACUCUGUCUCUCAAAAAUGAAUAAAUGUUAAAAAAAUAUUUUUAAAAAAGGCACGCCUAUUAUGCAGGACUUGUCACUCACAGUGAGGACCCUCAGGCUCUGGGAGGUGACAGAACUGGGAUUUUGUCCCUGGACUAACCCCAAGGGUUGGUCAAGCUUUUUGUGCUUUAUCACGUGAUCAUUUUUUUAGUUUGUUUAUCUCAUUUUACAGCUGAGGAAGCUGAGGAGCUUGCAGGCUAAAAGACUUGCCAAGUGUUCAUGUUUCAAAUGCACAGAGCCAGAACUCACACCCCACUGCCUGUAGCCUCUGCCCAAAGAACAUAGAGCCAGUACCUGUGAGACGCGGCAAGGCGUUUCCUGUUACAUCAGCCUGCAGCCCAAAGCGCCAUGGAAUGAUGUGACUCAGACACAAGAAUGUGUGCCAGUUAGAGAUCUCUUGGUUGCGUGGGGCAGAAAUUGCCAGGCUGAAACAAACAAGGGAAAUAGAAGUUCUCAAAAAAUAGGAAUUUGAAUAGAAAUCUAGACAAGAGCCAAGGUACAGUUAAACCAUGCUUGAAUCAGUGAAUGUGUAUCUAACCAGCUAUCUAUUUCAUUAAAAUCUUCCAGAAAACA